GGCGCUGCGGGACGGAGCCCCACAUAGCGCAGCCCGACGACCCAGCGCCUCGUAGUUUCAUGAGUCCCGCGCAUACAAAGUGGAUGUUCUCCUCCGGUGACAGCUCCAUCCUCCCUACAGGCCAGGCCAAAAACCCUGGAGGCUUAAGACCUGAGGGCCGUUCCUUCGCACCAGGAGAGCAAGACAAUGAGCCCGAGUGCCUCUCUUCUAAACUAACACAAAGAGGCUGCAGAGAAACCCAGGCCCAGAUGCUGCCAGCUGAUGGCGGGUCUGUGUUUGGUACCGUCUCCCUGCAUCUGCAGAGGCAGCUGGAAGGGCUUGGAGUGUGCAGGUCGCUUCCCAGCAGGCCUGUGCUGGCUAGGCGUCUGUCCUCGGGCCAAAGCUCACCUGCUGAGAGGCCAGGCUGGGUCCCAGAGGGUCGCCGUGGACCGUGGAACUCGGAGCGGGGCGUUUCCUGGAUACUAACGAGGUGGGAGCCUCGGUCCCCUUUACAAACAUUGCACAAGUAAGAUGUCAUGACUGCAGCCCUGAGGACCGGGGCCGCCGUCUCUCUGCUGGUGGGCUCCUCCUGUUCUCUUGCUGAUGCCGCAGCCUCUGCGGGAGUCCUAUUUGGAUGGGUGUUCAGGGGAAGCUGAGUCCGGGGUACAUUUCAUUUGGGAUGCAUAAAUGUUAUAUUGUCUGCCGUCAUGUGUAGCUAAUUUGCUGUUAACGGUGAGGUGUGGGAAUGGCUUCUCCAAAUGCUCUACCACCCACAGGGCCGGCUGGGGGCAGGGAUGCAGGGCAGGCGUCUCCUCGGGACAUGAGCGCUGUGUGUGCUCGGGUGCCUGGUGCCCUGCGACUGCGGAGUGCAGUGGAGCAAAGGUUCUAGACGUACGGGGCCAGAAGCUCCCUGCUAAGUGAGGAAAGGCAGAGGGUCCCUUCCAUCCUCUCCACAGAAAGACUAUUUUAAAAUUGUUCUCUUAAGAAGUGUGAACGAAAAACACUGCAAGCCAUAUCAGUAAACAGAGAAUACUGAAGCCAUCAAGUCAUCAGCUGCUGCCGCCGCCCCCCAGUGAAGACAGACCUGCAGCCCGACCUCUGCGGCCACUCACAAUGGUGCCCUCUGAGGGGACUCAGAAUAAGAAAGGACAGGACAUUGAAUUCAAUGAGCCCAAAUGUUUGCUUCCUCUGAUACAUAGAAAAGCACUAAAUUCUUUAACUUGAAAUGCCUGUUUUUCUUUAGAUAACAAGUAACCUUUUAUUGUUCCAACUACCUGGUCUUUGUUGUAAAGCUCCUGUAUAUCCCAGCUCCUCCCCUACCUCUUCGGAGCAGCCCCUCAGAGCCGUCAUCCCGGCUCAAGUCCUCCCGCCAAAUAAAACAUAACUCUCAA